GACAGAGGGUGCAAACGUUGUUCGGAUUUACUGGGCGUAAAGCGCGUGUAGGCGGCUUUGGCAAGUUGGAUGUGAAAGCCCACGGCUCAACCGUGGAAGCGCAUCCAAAACUGCUUCGCUCGAGUCUCGGAGAGGAAGGUGGAAUGCUUGGUGUAGAGGUGAAAUUCGUAGAUAUCAAGCAGAACACCUGCGGCGAAGGCGGCCUUCUGGACGAUGACUGACGCUGAGACGCGAAAGCGUGGGGAGCAAACAGG
rnacentral:rRNA from 1 species